rnacentral:rRNA from 2 species
GGACUACUGGGGUAUCUAAUCCUGUUUGCUCCCCACGCUUUCGCGCCUCAGCGUCAGUACCGGGCCAGUGAGCCGCCUUCGCCACUGGUGUUCUUCCUAAUAUCUACGAAUUUCACCUCUACACUAGGAAUUCCACUCACCUCUCCCGGACUCGAGACCCGCAGUAUCGAAGGCAGUUCCGAGGUUGAGCCUCGGGAUUUCACCCCCGACUUGCAGAUCCGCCUACGCGCGCUUUACGCCCAGUAAUUCCGAACAACGCUAGCCCCCUCCGUAUUACCGCGGCUGCUGGCAC